CAUGAUUUAGUCAGUUUAAGAUGGAGAUUUGGAAACAUCAAGAAUUGGCGAUGUAUAUUUAGGCCUUCUAGCUUGUACGCCUGAUUCACCAUUUUUCUGCAGCCCGGUUGAGGCUAUUCCUGGCAGGACUAUUGUGAAAGGUUGGCAGCUCCCCGCCUCCCCCUUCCAUUGCUAUACAAACUUAGACAAAUGGCAGCUAUAUCACAUGAUUCAGUAUGGCAAGUGCAGUUUACUGGCUUCCGAUUCAAGAUUUGGAUUUUGGAACAAAGAAGUUAGAGUAUCCUGUAGAUAGUAUCCUUGUGUUCAAGCAGAAGAAAAAUGCAAUUUCUGUUGGUUGAAUUAUAACUUCCAAAUUUACACAUCGUGAAAUACAAAGAUGGAUGGCUGCUCUUUAUGAUUGAGUUCGUGCAAAAGAUCAAACAUGGCAGCUGGGUGGCUUCAUUAUAUGGAUGAUCCUUGACCCAUGUGAUCAUUAUAAGAUUUUGAUGGUAAUCAACUUCUCAAUGAUGAAGACAGUGAUCUGGAUGCUUGCAACAAAAAAAGUCUGGAGGAGCAUCUAAAUAAGCCAAAGCUACUAUAGCGGUGCAAGCCAUGCAGGGUCUUCUAAUGGUCCUGCUCGUGUGGAAUGAGAAUGUGGAGAAGCCUCUAAUGGCAAUGAAGGAACUUCCGGUGAUGAAGAAACUGCAGCAUGACCAGUCAUGCAAUCUUACAAAAUCAAAGACAGUCAAGCAACUCCUGAACUGAAUAAUUCUUUAGAUGAGGUUAGCUCAGCAGGUCUGAUCGGUGAGACGACGACGCAAUAGCACACAAAAGAAUGUGGUCUUCGGAUCCAGGUGUUCCUGUCAUCCCAUGUCUGCUAUGAUCUCUUACGGUUUGGUUAUUAUUCCUCUACACAAGUUUUGCUUUGUGGGAGGAUAUGUUGCUUGUAAAUGGAAGUGA